CAAAACUAAGUCCGCGUUAGAAGUGCACAGUUUGGUGAAAUUAGAGGCAACGGAUUUGGCCUGAUUUCAAUUAAGAAACAUUCGUGAACCUCGUCGUGUCACAGCACUGACAAUACGUUUGCACGGCUGCUCUGGCGGCAUAAUUAAAUCUGGAGAAAAGGAAGAACCCAGCACGUAAAACGCUCGCCCGAGACCGUCGUACAGGGAACGUCGUGGAAAGCGAAACACCCUCUCGAAGCGGGCUAUCGCAGCAAAUCAGCAAGCAUCUCUGCUUUUCGGUAACGGUGGAGAAGUGAAUCGCCCAGAAAGAUCGUUCAACCGGACAAUAGAAGACCCCGCUAAGGGGUCUUUUUGUUUUAUACAUUCUUGCUUCUUGUUACCGUACCGUGACUGGGUGUUGCUUUGAGGCGCAAGCCUGCCGUGGUGCGUGGAUUGGUG